rnacentral:lncRNA from 1 species
AUCCUUCUCCCUCCCAGACUUUAAAUGCUUCCUGUAAAGCCAUAGAUGCAACUUAUUAAUGCCUCCAUGUGUUAUUGUAAAUGAAGGAUUCACAGCAGUGGCUGUAGCCAUCGAAUAUUCAAGGAUGUGGGCAAGCACUGUCAGCCACUGGCUAAGAGAACGGCACAGAUGGGAUCCAGGAGGGGAGGUAUUCUCCUCCCUGGGCCAGGUGUGCAGAUGCAGUCUCUAUUCCAGCUCUCCUAUGGGACAUUUGGGCUCCGAGGUGCUGCUGCAUCACCAGAGGCUCAUCCACACCUCUGCUGCCCCAGGAGCAUGCAAUGCCUGACCUGCUCGGCCCACUUUGCACUGCAACAGUAAAUUAAACAUCUUCAUUAGCUUAUUUGAUAGUUGAAUGAAAUGCUUUGAAACACUGGCACAUUAACUGCAAUCAAGUUUUGAAAGGUCUCUGGUUGCUGGAAGGAAAUUAGCCUGAUAAAUUGCUCUUUUCAAUUAAACAAAUGGGUAAUUUUUCACAAGCAAGCCCAGAAGCUAUCAUUUGGGAAGGGUGGUUUUGUGUUGUUUUUUCUUUUUUCUUUUUUCCUUUGCUUUGCUUUUUUCAUGUUUUCCAACCAUUUCUCUUAAGGGACAGAUUUAUCCGGUGACUGACUCUCACCAAAGGUGUAAGACAGAGCCAUCCUGCCCGUCUGCCCCACACCGCCCCACGGGGGUCUCACGGCAGAGACUUCUGAAUUGCUCUCCCAAAGUGAUAACAGCUAAUGGUGUGACCUCGAUUCUUUGCCUGCCUUUAUGCUCCUCUGUUUACAUGUUUGUGUAAGGAAGCAUUACCUUCCGUGGGUCAAAAAGGCCUGUUGAAGUGAAGCAGAGUCCCAGGAUAAUUGUAGUUACUAAGUAACUUUCAUCUCACAAUGAACUGCUUGAGGCCAUUGAGUUGUGUGUUGGCUUCUCCUUGGGUCCAAACCAGUGUCUGACCUCAAUACACCGCCAGUCCUCAACACUACGAAGACAGCCUGCAUUCAAAAAGCAUUCCCCGAGCUUAGAAGCCAGAACAGAUUGUGUCCAUUGUGUACUAAGUCUGGAGGGGACCCCAGAAAUGCACGCUGACCCCAGUUUCACACCAGAGCUAUAGACGUGCUAAGAACUUCGUCUGCUCCAUGGCAGAAAAGCAAAUGUUAGUGUAAGCAACAGCAGCUCUGGAUUUGUCUCGCCUUGGGCAUAUUUAUCCAGGGCAUUGCCAUGACAUCAUUCACAUUAAGACUUGUGUUGUCGGCUGUUUCAGAUCCUAGAAGCUGACACAAGCUCUAGUCCAUAGGUCAAGAUGCUGUCAGACUUCAGAUGAUCCUGGAAGAAUAACAGAGCUCUGCCAACAGCAGGCUGAUAGCCAUUGCAGCAGUGCAGUGUCAGACCAAUCGCGUGAGGGAACCUAAGUUAUAUUUAUUUCUUGAAAACGAGGCUUUCUUGCUGAGAAUAUAGACACUGCGUGUUAAAAUCCAGCUGUAAAAGGCUACCACAGCUUCGUCUUUGAGGACUGAAUACGGUAAUUUGGGGCUUUUUAUGGUGUCGGAAGAGACCACAAAUGAUAUAAGAACUUCCUUCCACCAACUACAUAAAAAAAAAAAGCAAAGAUAUCCUACUGUACUCUGGAGUAACUGCAUAAAACAUGAUGAUUCAUGUGAUUAGAAAUUCUCCUUUAUUUUUCCUCUGUGCACAACGCUGCUCUUGGUGAACUGUUCAUCACAGUGCGUAAUUACAUUCCUUUCACCUCAACUGCCUCUACGUUUUUCAUGUCUUCCUCCUGAAAUGCUGAUUGUUCUGGAGUGUCUCGGUGUGUCUGGAAGCGAUCUGCAUGCAGAGACUCUGCUGUUGGCUGCAGUGUGGCUUAGGAGAAAUUCAGCACUUGGACAAAAGACUGCCAAGAUGUGGAGUCCCCCAGCGGUCUGAUGGCACCCAGCUCUACGUGGUUGCUGCUGAGAUAGAGGUUCAAAAGUACAGAGUGUCUUCUUGAGCUUAGGGUUAUUGUGCAGCACUGCUUUCCUUCUGAGGACCGCCCUUGUAGGCAAACAGUGCCCUGGGGUCAACAGGAGAUGACCUGUUGACCCCAGGAGAUGAAGCUCCGUGUCAUCAUGAGCAGAAGUGGAGGUGUCUGAGAACUGUUUGAGUACAGCUUGCACUUCUACGGGGAAACCCACCCAGCUCAGCCUCAGGGCUUCUGCACUUAGAUUUCAUCAGUGUUAUCGGUGGGCUCUAACCUGGAGCACUCAUCUACUGGGAUGGUCUGCAAAGGUCUCUGCUCUCCCUCGAGCAGCAAGUGACUUGCAGUGCCUAGUCCUCCUGGAAUCACAGAGUCAUUGAGGUUGGAAAAGACCACUAAGAUCAUGCAGUCCAAGCACCACCCCGUCCCCACCAUACCCCUGACCACGUCCCUCAGUGCCACAUCUCCAUGGUUCUUGAACACCUUCAGGAGCAGUGACUCCACCACUACCUUAGAGCUGCUGUGCCAACGCAUCAUCACCCCUCCUGAGGUGAAGUUUUCCCUAACACACAACCUGAACCUCUCCUGGCACAACUUAAGCUCCCCGAGCUCUGAAUGGGCCGUGCCUUUCAUCUGAAACACAAAAAUGGCACCUGUCCAAACCCAGAUCACAGGCUCGCACUCAGGUUUGUUUUGCUGCUAUCUCAUCUUCCUGUUUUCUUGUCCUCCCUCCCCAUCUCUUUGUUCUGCCUGCCCAGACUGUGCUGUGCUAACUGACGUUGGGAGCCGUGUGGGCAGGGAAUGGGUUUUGUUUUUAAUAAAAAGGAGGGGGGGGGGGGAAAGCAGCGUGGUUACAUCAUCUUGCACAACAGGUCCCCGCUCUGUGGCUGGGCCAAGGGAGCCCGACAGAGCUGCAGAAAAUAUGAAAAAACUCAGGAUGGCAAUAAUUAAACGAUAUCACAGCGUGUUGCAUGUAAUAACAAUACGUUCCAGUCUGCUCCUCGCAUGGAAACCCCCAGGUAUACCUGGCAACGAGGGAGACAGGGAGCGGAAUGCUAAUGACGGCGGAGGAGGGGGGCACCUAAUGGCGCUGUGGCUAAUUGCCAGUUGUGCCUGCUCUUUGAACAGUCUUCCCGUGCUGAGCUAGGCAUAUUUUUGGCCUGUAGAAAACGGGGCAGGGUGUUGAUAGGGCUCUGUGUUUUCCUUAAGCUUCCUACGGGCCGGCGGUGUGAAGGCCUACGGAGCCACGAGGUCUGCGUGCGGCCCAGGAGCGGCCUGCAGGGUUUGGAAACCCACAGCAGCGGGUCAGACCCGAGGAAAGAAACUGCAAUUGUGGAGAGCACCAGAUGCAGAACAGAAGUCUCUGCUGGUUUGCUUGUUGCAAAAGGCCCCCGCUGACUUUACCUUUGGGUCUGUUCUACCAUCUCUCAUUGUUUCACGUAAGCGUUUCUCUGGUAAUUAGGCUGGUAAUGACAAUCAUCCCUGGUGGCCCUCCCUGGUUGAGAAAGCUCUGCUCGUGGGCAGCGAGUUUUGUCUCUUAAGUGGGGAAGGCCGAGUGUCUAUAACUGCAAACGUUGCCCCGGUUAUGAUGGAAAACCUUUAUAAAAGAGGAAAGCUUUGCUGCAUUUCCUAGAAGUGAUUCAGAAUGCAUUUGUCUGGUUUCCUCUGGAAGCUCUGGAAUGUUUUGUCCCUGGCUGCUUCCUUCUGGACUCUGCGGUCUGCGCCGUCCCGGAGGAGCACAGAUAGCUCUGAUUUGCAGCUGCAGGUGCAGGCUUCUUGUAGCUGGGCACAGAUAUGUUCAGAGCUUUGAAGACCAAGACCUUGAACUAGCAGCGGAUGCAGAUUAAAAACCCUCUUCAGCUUCCUAAAGUGCAACUGAACUUCUGCAUGAGGCGACGAAGGAAAACAACCCCCUGGUUUCCAGGGGCUUUUUUAAACGUAGCAGGGAUUUGAUGUUUUAUCUUUGUUGCCUUUCCUCUAAAUGAUUUCAAACUACCCAUGGAUACGAAUGCCUCUAAUUUCAAGGCUUUCCUUUUGGGAUACAACAAAGUGAAGGCAGCCACUCAGAAGUUUGGCUGCAGGCAGGAGAAGAACAGAUGUGUCCAUGAGCGGACACAGCCAUCCGUGGGAGCUGGAAGAACAGAGGGGAAUGGGAAGUUCUGGUUUCAGAAGCUUGUCCUCGGAGCUGGAUGUAAGAGGGUUCUGCCCUAAGAACACAGGCUCUACAGGCUGAUUGUACAGCAGCAGCUCCUCUACUGGUCUUUACAAAACCCAUUUGAGGUCUACUAAUGAAAAGUGCUAUGGAAUUAUUGGUCUGACUUCUAUUCCUGCAGAAUUAGUGCGGCCCGAAGCCAGAGGGAGCCCUUCUGCUGGGAGGUUUGGAUCACCUUUGCUCAAGGUUCUAACACCCCUCGCUUGCCCUUGAUUCCCAUGUGGUGUCGGUGGGGAUGGGGGGCCACAGGCUGGGGUUGGUGCCUGGGUGCUGCACUGGGCUCUCUCUGCUCUGCCUCCCAUUGCUGAUGAGUGGCAGGGACAGACAGCCCACUGCCUUCCAACUGUUGGCUGCCAUACACACAGGCUCUGAACAAUUGUGAUUCCACUUUUGUUACACUUCCAUGGAAAGUGGGCCGUUUCUUGUUUUUUUUUUCCCCCACUUUCACAGAAACACACUUGAGUUGGAAGGGACCUCUAGAACCCAUCUGGUCCCACUCCCUGCAGUGCACAGGGGCACCCACAGCUCCAUCAGGUGCUCAGAGCCCCAUCCAGUCUGAUCCUGGGUGUCUCCAAGGAUGGGGCAUCCAUCACACCCUUGGAUAGCCCGUGCCAAUGCCUUACCAUCCUUGUUAUAAAAAACUUUUUUCUUGUAUGCAAUCUAAAUCUUCCCUCUUUUAGUUUGAAACCGUUUCCCCUCAUCCUAUCACAGCAGACCCAGCUAAGGAACCUGUCCCAUCCUUUCUUAUCACUCCCCUUUUUCUUUGUAGGGAAACUGAUGCAGGCUGCGUAUCGGCAGCGUAGGGGAACGAACCGGAUGAGAGGAGAAUAUUUAUUUAUUAUGGGAAUGUCUGAAGUUAUCCUUUCUGCUGGCUUUUGGCUCAAGGAGGAGCACCCCGCGUGCCACCCAGAGUCAAAGGGUAAGUGCAGUGAAAAAUAACAAUCAAAGAAAAAAAAACCAGCAAGGAAAAAGAAAAAAAAAAGAAAGGAAAAGGAAAGAGGUAGCGUUGCAAGUAAAGCUGGGAGAUUGCCAUUAAGAAGAAAAAAAAAAAAAAAUUAAAAAGGUGGGGGUGGUCACCAUGGGGCCGGCUGGGCUCCGGGUCCCGCCCGCUCCCGUCCC